rnacentral:rRNA from 1 species
GACGAACGCUGGCGGCGUGCUUAACACAUGCAAGUCGAACGGAAAGGCCCUGCUUUUGUGGUGUGCUCGAGUGGCGAACGGGUGAGUAACACGUGAGUAACCUGCCCUUGACUUUGGGAUAACUUCAGGAAACUGGGGCUAAUACCGGAUAGGAGCUCCUGCUGCAUGGUGGGGGUUGGAAAGUUUCGGCGGUUGGGGAUGGACUCGCGGCUUAUCAGCUUGUUGGUGGGGUAGUGGCUUACCAAGGCUUUGACGGGUAGCCGGCCUGAGAGGGUGGCCGGCCACAUUGCGACUGAGAGACGGACCAGUCUCCAAUGGUAGGCAGCAGUGGGGAAUAUUACACAGUGGGCGCAAGUCUGUGACGGCAGCGCCGCGUGCGGAAUGACGGCCUUCUGGUUGUAAACCGCUUUCGCCUGUGACGAAGCGUGAGUGACGGUAAUGGGUAAAGAAGCACCGGCUAACUACGUG